AAGGAGAAAAUAUCUGAGUCUAAUGAUCUGUUUAAAGCCCAUUUUGUUGUUGAUGUUGUUUUUGUUUUGUUUUGUGGCUAGUGAAACAGGACAAUGGAGGGAAUAUGAAAAAGAACAAGAUAAAGAAGAAGAGGAGCAGGAACACAAAAGGCUUCAAAGCUCCAGGUGUGAACAGAGAAGGAGGCUGUUGUCUGGGAAAUGCUGAGCAGAAGCACGUAAAGAAGGAGGAAGGGUGUACAAGUCACAAGUCAUCAAAAGCCCUGUUGGCUACGAGUCCUCACCAGCUAAUGACCCGGUCUGUUGACUGCCCAGAAAUUUACUGCUGAUUCCCAUGGGGAAAUAAAGCUCCUGGUUUAUAACUUCUGACCCCA
rnacentral:lncRNA from 1 species